rnacentral:lncRNA from 1 species
GCUACCACAACAAUCCGCAGGAUUGGGUGCAAUUCCAGGUAAUUGCAAGACUAAACACCAUGUCUAAUCUAUUAAUUACUACUCUAAUGUUUCAAAGAUUAGAGCACUUGAUGCAAGCGGGAAUCCAAUAAAUAACUUAAAUGUAAAUAAAAGUAAUUAGAGAACUCAGGAAUUAUAAAUUGAAGAACCUGGAGAACGACGAAGAACGAACCAGUUGCUGCAAAAGUACAAUGUUGAGGAAGAUCCGAUAGAUCCGGCUCCUCUUCCUCCGCUCUCCUCUUCUCUCUCCCUAUUUUCUAGAUUACAACUAGAACUAACUAGAACUAGAACUAGAGGAACUAGAACUAGAACUAGAUGAACUAGAACUAGAUCUAGAUGAACUAGAGGUAGAACUAGAAGAGCUAGAGGGAUCAUCUCUACUCGGAUGAAGAAUUGAAACCCUAACUUUGAUUCUGUAGAAGAGGUAUGAUCUCCAGGGGCCAGGGGGUCUGGUUUUAUACUCCCUUCAGAUGAAUCUGGGCCGUCGGAUCAAACGACAUUAAUCGUACGGUUUCCUUGAUCCUUUAGGUCGGUGGAGUGUGAUCCCCGAAUUGGACUCUGAUUGGGCACUCUAGUAGGGCGGGCGCCCUCAGGACUAGGGCAGGCGCCCUGUCCCUGAGCCCUCUCGGCCUUCGCUUCGGUCCCGUGGCUUCCGGAGUCUUCUAGAUGAUAGAAAAUUGCACGGCACGUUAAUAUCUCUAUGUAAACACGACGUGUGGGCCUUUCUUCCGUAUUUUCUGAUAACCCCCUGCAGAAAUAGACAAACACCAAAACUCGUGGAAUUUUGUCAGAUAAAACUCUAAGUCUAGGCGUUAGUUGCAUUUGGAUCUUUUUCCAUGAUUAGUUGAUGGUUAAAUGUGAGCAUUAAGGACCGUCAACACUAGCUUUCAACCUAGAGAUCAGACUUUCAUUUGUGCACAUAUACAGGGUUGGGCUGAAAUGAAUUUUUUGCAGGUACACUAACAACAAAAUGUGUAGAAAGAUUAGUUUUGUAUAAUGAGAGCACGUAUGUAAGCCACCAUUUAUACCGCUAGAAUUAUUCUUUUUCUAUGGGUUGUGAGGACGUACGAACCGUGCAUGCAUCAUGAAUCAUUCAUGCAUUUCUUUAUGCACUACUCCAUUCUUAUAAUUCUAAAAGUUGUAAUUAAAUAUCUUCUCUUGUAAGUAAUCCUCCCUUACUCAAAUUGUGGUCUUUUACUAUAGAUGGCAACCCCAUAUGAGAAUGAAACUUUACUGGACAUGUUUGGCACUCCUACUUUGCUGUGGAGGGUGCUAAGCUCUGUGGGAUAUGAAGAACCACCCAAGUACACCUUGAAUGAGGUGGAGAAUGAGGGACCAUUGCCCUAGGUGAAUGUUAAAAUCACAGUCCCUGCUUGUCGAAAUAACCCACAAUGGCUAGGUUGGAUAGUGGAGUCUGAUGGGCAAACACCUUGGGAGGGCGCUCAGGUAGCAGCCCUAGAGGUGUUGUUGGAGAUUUGUCAAGAGUUUGGUGAUGAGCUUGUUAAUGGGCCAGCAGGAACCAUUCCUAGAGUGAACCCAACAGAUACCUUUGUGUCACAAAUAGGGAAUGAGCCCAUAGAUAUGAGAGAAGCGGUGCUGGGGUACAGUACUAGCCCUACCAUUAGUGCCAAGCUGGCGGUGCUUAGGCUGUACUAUGUGCACCAGGAUGCCUAUGUAGAGGCUAUGCUAGCACUUCAGCGAGCCCAAGUUGGGCAACACAAGCUACGGAGGCAUAUGCGCAAGCACCGCAAAGCAUUUAGGGAUGCACAAGUUGAAAUCCAACAUUAUCACACCGCCCUGCAAGCCCACCGCAAUCUGGUUGAAAAUGCAAUUAGAGAGCGCAAUGUGGCGCAAGCACGCAUGAUGCAAAUGACUAGAGAGUGAGAUGAGGCUAUGCGCUUGGCUGAAAAUAGAGAGGCUGCUAGAGUUAGAGCCCUGUUCUAGGCUGAACUUAGAGAGCAGGAGUUAAUCCACCAAAUUGCUGAGCUGCAGCUAGAUGUGCAUCGUCUUAAUAAUGUAAUAAAUCCUAUACCACAACCUGUCCCAACUGAUCCUGAGGAUGAGCCUAGUGAAGAAGAAUAGGAUGAUGGUAUGGUCUCUAAUGAAGAAUCUGAGGAAGACCUAUAGCUUGGCUAUGGUUCUCACUUUUAUGUACUAGUUCCUAUUUCCCUUUGUGUACCAGACAUGUAAUCUGAAAUUCAGUUGGAACUCUAAGUAUUAUUUAGCUUUUGAUGUCCUCUAUGCAAGACUUAAGUUGUGGCAAUGGCCAUGUGUAACCAUUUGAACUUGUAUGUGAUGCUCCAUGUCUAUGUUGAGCUGAAGUAAUGGUUACAUGGUGUCUUUUCUCCCUGAUGAAACUUUGUGGUCAUAAACGAUUGUGAGAAUGUAACCAGUAACGUAUGGAUGAUGUUGAUUGUGUGAAUGAAUUAUUGUGCAUUUCAUUAUAUGGAUUUAUCUUCAGUAAAUUCCGUAUGGCAUCAAUGAGGUUCAUCGACAAUUAUUUUUGUUAUCCUAAAUGAUUACUUGGUGUGCCUUGUGUAGAUGGCUUGCAAUACUCGUUCUGGCAACAAUGAGGUGCCGCCACCACCACCUCCUCCCCCGGCUACGCCUGCCGAACUCUUGGCAACACUUGUUGAGGGUCAGCAGAUGUUGAAUAAGACCAUGCAUACUAUGGCGUAGCAGAACCGUGGUGGUCGCAAUGCCCACCAAGGUGGAGAGCCAAAUCAAUAUAGUGACUUCAAGGACAUCCAGGAUACUAGGCCGCCGGUUUUCAAGGAGGCCUCUAAAUCUAUAGAAGUUGAUGAAUGGCUCAAUACUCUUGAGCAGAAGUUCCGCUUGCUGAGGGUGGCUGAAGAAACAAAGGCUGAAUAUGUAGCACACUAGUUGUAGGGGUCGGUUGGUAUUUGGUGCAAUCACUAUAGGUCCACCUUGCCCGCUAAUGCCACAGUGACUCAGGAUUGAUUCAAUACUACUUUCAGGGAUACUUACAUUCCUCCAGGCUUAAUGGCCAUCAAGCAUAAUGAGUUCAUGAAUCUGACUCAAGGCACUAGAGCUUGACUAAGUAUCUUCAUGCUUUCAAUAACCUAUCUCGCUAUGCCACUAAGUUUGUGGACACUGAAGCCAAGAAGCUUGCUAGUUUCAAAAGGGGCCUUGGCCCCAAGCUAAUGAAGAACAUGGCCAACAAUAAGAGCACCACUUCUAAUGAGUUUGUGAGUGAUGCCAUGACCCAAGAGAAUUCAAAUUCUGUCUAUGCUGCUUCCAAGAACCGCAAGAGAGCUUAUGAAGCUGGUGCCUCGCAAUCUACGGCUCCUGUCGUAGCCAACUCGGCCUAUCAUCCGCCCAAUGCUAUGACACGAUACAAGCCACCUCAGAAGAAGAACAAUGUGAAGACUAGGGUUCACAAAGCUAUCACUGUUGCUCUUCCUAGGGGCGCCACAGGUCAAGGGAGCUCAAAUACUCCCCCUGCUAAUUGUCCCUACUUCAACUACAAGCAAGUUGGCCAUUGGGUGAGUGAUUACCCUUACCCUAAGUAGAAUCCUACCGCAGCUGGGGGGCAAUGUACGUCUCAGCUGUGUGCACUAUACCACCAUCAAAGAAAUCCCUGCUAGAGAAGUGGUUACUGCUGGUAUGUUUCUUGUCAACCAACACCCUGCAGUUGUCUUGAUUGAUUCUGGAGCUUCACAUUCUUUCAUGAGUCAAGGAUUUGCAUCUAAGCAUGGGUAGAAGAUAGUGGAUAUUGACAAGGGUAAAUUUUGUAUUAGUGCUGCUGGUAAUCAAAUCUCUACCAACCAAGUAGUGAGAAAUGUGCACCUCACUAUUGAAGGGAGGGAUUAUUCAGUAGAUCUUGUAAUUUUGUCGAGCUUGGGAAUAGAUGUUAUUCUGGGUAUGAACUGGAUGUGUGGCCAUGGUGCAUUGAUAGAUACCUCAACAAGGGUGAUCAUGUUGAGAGAACCUAAUAGUAAGGAGGCUUUCUUAGUCCAACUUCUUAUGGAUGUUGACAUCCGGAACACUACCAAUGCCGUACGACCACUCACUGUAGUAGAUAUUCCUGUAGUGUGUGAACUCUCAGAUGUUUUUCCAGAGUAUCUGCCUGGAUUGCCUUUGGACAGAGACAUAGAGUUUAAAAUUUAUCUAAUUCCAGGCACCACACCUAUCUCUAGAAGGCCAUAUGAAUGCCACCCAAUGAACUAGCAGAACUAAAAAAGCAAAUGCAAGAACUCCUGGAGAAGGGUCUUAUUCGGCCUAGCUCUUCUCCAUGGUGUUGUUCGGAUCUUUUUGUCAAGAAGGAUAAGUCUCUCCAUAUGUGUGUAUACUAUUGCACGCUUAAUGCUGUGAUCAUCAAGAACAAGUAUCCCCUGCCUCGCAUUGACAUUCUGUUUGACCAAUUAGCAAAAGCCAAGGUAUUUUCAAAAAUUGAUUUGAGAUCUGGGUAUCAUCAAAUCAAGAUUCAACCCGAAGAUGUCCCUAACUACCAGAUAUAGGUUGUAUGAGUACUUAGUCAUGUCCUUUGGUCUAACUAAUGCACCUGCACACUUCAUGUACCUAAUGAAUUUGGUGUUCAUGCCUGAACUAGAUAAGUUUGUGGUGGUGUUCAUCGAUGAUAUAUUGGUCUAUUCUGAAAGUGCCCAAGACCAUGAGAAGCACCUUCGAAUUGUACUCAAUAGGUUGUGGUAACAUCAGCUUGAUGCCAAGUUCAGCAAAUGUGAGUUCUGGCUGAAGAAAGUGCCUUUUCUAGGACAUAUCUUGUCCGAGGAUGGAAUCUCUGUUGACCCCUCCAAAGUGCGAGACGUCCUAGAUUGGAAUGCCCCGACUUCGGUGCAUGGGGUUCAGAGUUUUCUUGGUUUAGUAGGUUAUUAUCAUCGCUUCAUCCCUAACUCAAGAUAGCUAAACCUAUGACCAAGCUACUGGAAAAGACGAGAAAUUUGUGUGGUCUUAGGAGUGUGAAGCUGCUUUUAAUGCUUUACGCCACUAGUUAUUAUUGUCGCUUCAUCCCUGACUCCUCUAAGAUAGCUAAACCUAUGACCAAGCUACUGCAAAAAGACAAGAAAUUUGUGUGGUCUUAGGAGUGUGAAGCUGCUUUUAAUGAUUUACACCACUUGUUAACCACUGCUCCUAUUUUAGCGCAACCAGAUAUUGAAAAGCCAUUUGAUGUCUUCUGCGAUACCUCUGGCACCGGUUUGGGUUGUGUUCUCAUGCAAGAAGGCUAAGUCAUUGCUUAUGCCUCUCGACAACUGAGGAAACAUGAGGUCAACUACACCACCCAAGAUUUGGAGCUAGCGGCAGUUGUUCAUGCGUUGAAACUCUAGAGACAUUACUUGCUAGGCAACUUGUGUCACAUUUAUACUGACCAUAAAAGCCUCAAGUACAUCUUUACCUAGCCUGAGCUUAACAUGAGAAAAUGAAGAUGACUAGAGUUGAUUAAGGAUUAUAAUCUUGAAGUGCAUUAUCAUCUUGGUAAAGCAAAUUUCAUAGCAGAUGCCUUGAGCCAUAAACUGCAUGCUAAACCUCUGCUUGAAGAAGGCUUGCACCAUGUGGUCCUACAUAACAUCAUGGUUAGUUGUUCCCUAGAAAGCCAUAUCACAGAACUGCAAAAGACCAACCCCGGUAUCUUUCAUAUCAAAAGUAAGAUGAAAGAACAAGACACCAAGCAUUUCAGGGUAUAUGAGAAGGGUGUGUUGUGGUUUGAUGAUAGGCUUGUGGUACCCAAAGACUGUGAGCUUCAAAACAAAAUUUUAGAAGAAGCCCACUCAUCUAAACUGUCUAUUCAACCUGGCAGGAGUAAAAUGUAUUAGUGUAAGUGCAAUCAAGCCCUAGUUGUGGGUUUUGGUGAUAAUGACCACACAAUUAGAGGACUAAUGAGAUUUGUUGAGAUGGCAAGCAGGUAAAAUAAGAAUGAGGGUAACACAUGAUAUGUGAGAUGGCAAAAGCCCAAUUACCAAAUGAUGUGGUGAUGGACUCAAAGGCAUUUUAAUUAUUUAAUAUUUAUUCUUGAGUUUAGGCUAUGCCGCAUUAUAAAGGGGGAUGCAAAUUUAGUUGGUCUAAGGCAGAUAGAGUGCUCAAGUAUUAAAACUAGAUCAAAAGAGAGACACUCUAGCACUUCACGAGCACGUAGAAUAGUUUUUUAAGACUUGUGGGGUCGGAAGUCCCGAUGUGCGUCGGAACUGAUGACGCAUGUCGGAACUGAUGACGUUCGUCGGAAGUCCCGACACCUGGCCCUCUUGCUACCUCUGCUCGCGCUUGCGUCGGAAGUCCCGACGCGCGUCGGAACUGAUGACGCAUGUCGGAACUGAUGACGUUCGUCGGAAGUCCCGACACCUGGCCCUCUUGCUACCUCUGCUCGCGCUUGCGUCGGAAGUCCCGACGUACAUCGGAAGUGAUGACGUGUCGGAAGUGAUGACAUGUGUCAGAACUGAUGAUGCGUCGUAACUGAUGACGUGCGUCGGAACUGAUGACGUAGACUGGUUUUGUAUAGACUUCUGACCAAGUGAACAGUGUUUUUAGUAUAUGUCAAAAGUCCCGAGAUCCGCGUUGGAACUUCCGACGUAGAUCUGAACGGUUAGUUUUCAGCUUAUUGUAUAAAUAGCUUUCUCAACGUUUCUAACCGUUACAGACUUAUUCUAAGCAACUCACUCACGACCCCAAUAGCUCUCAAGCUCUCAAGGCUCUCCUCUCCUCUCCCCUUUGCUCCAAACUUCGAUUCCCCAAGGUUUUGAGUGAUAGGAGAGUAGAUUGAGUGAGAAAAUCAUCUAGCAAGCUUGAGCACUUGAGUUCUUCGUCAAGCCGGUUGGAUUUGCGUCUAUUACUCUUGGGUUCUUGGAACCCUAGCCGGCUAGGCAUCGCCCAAGAGCGCCCGAUCUGUGGGAUGACCUUGGGAAGUUUGUAUUACCCUUGAUUUUCUAGUGAAGAACUCAAGUUUACCUUUGUGGUUGCUUGAGAGAGGCAAGGAGGUGAAAGAGACUCCGACCUUAGUGGUCACCUCAACAACGAGGACGUACGCAAGCCUUAGUGGCAAGCCGAACCUCGAGAUAAAUCUUUGUGUCCCGUGUGCUUAUUGUUGUUGUGAUUACUUGAGAUUACUUGUUCUUUGUUUUCUCUUUCUCUCUCAAGCCAUUUCUUAGGUUUUGGUGCCGAUCUACAAAUUGGUGGCAGUUCAAGGUCAAGGAAGCACUUGGAUUACUUCAUCUUACCACUAGAAAGUGGGGUUGUAAGUUAUUGCCUUCACAAAGUUUAUUUAGGCACUUGUAGUUCAUUUCCCGUAGGCGUCGGAACUUCUGACGGUUUGCGUCGGAACUUCUGACAGUUUGCGUUGGAACUUCUGACAAUUUGCGUCAGAAGUUUUGACCUGAACUGUCAUAACUUCUGACAGUUGCUGACAAGUGACUUUGAGUUGUGUAGAAAAUUAGUAGAUACGCCUAUUCACCCCCCCUCUAGGCUUACCAAGGAUCCUUAUAAGUGGUAUCAGAGCCGGUUACCUCGUGUGCGCUUCACCGCGUGAGGUAUGGAGCCCGGAGGAGGAUCGGGCGGUGCAAAGUCUACGGAAGUCCGUCUAGAGGAAAUGGGCUUGCAUGACACUGACACUGAUAGCAGCCAACUCAGUGUGUCGACAGCAAGUAAUACCACACUUCCUCAUCUCGAACCUACCGAUGGUGAAAGGGCUCUCAAUGAAGAAGAGAAGAGAAAGAGAAAAGAAGCAAUAAUGCUCAAAAGAGAAGCAAGAGAAAAGAAGAAAGAGCGACAACGAUUAGAUGAGAAGAAGGCAAGAAAAGAAGCUAGAAGGCUCAAAAGAGAAGAAAGAAGAAAGAGAAGGGAAGCUAGGAAGAAGAAAGAAGAAGCCAAAGCUCCCAAUACAUCUUCUAGUGUGCUUUCUAGCAGCUCUGAAGAUGGUGAUGAUGAUGAGUCCUACCAAUUGCAUAGCAAGAAGGACAAGAAAGGAAAGGGCAAGAAGAACGACAACGACAAAUAUGCUGCCGUAUCCUUUAACUAUUCUUCUAUGUCUAUGACUAACCAUGAUCGCAAGUCUUUUAUUAAUGUGCCCGCAGGGAAGUUACCUCAUUUUGAUGGGACUAACUUUGCCAAGUGGAAGCACUUGAUGAGAGCUUAUCUUAUAGGUCUCCACCCCGGUAUUUGGGAGGUUGUUUGCAAUGGGUUUGAGUCACCAGUUGAUCCCAAGAACCCAACAUUAGAAGAGAUGAGAAUCAUUCACCUCAAUGGUCAAGCCACAAGUGUGUUGCUUAGUGCUUUGGAUGGUGAUGAGUACAAUAGAGUGAUUGGUGUUGACAUUGCCAAGCAAAUAUGGGAUACUUUGCACCUUGCACAUGAAGGAGUUGACAAAGUAAGGAAGGCAAGAAUUGAUUCAAUGAUGGCCAAGCUCAACCGGUUUGUUAUCUUGGAUGGAGAAGGGCCACAAGAGAUGUUUGAUAGGUUGAUGUCCUUGGUGGGCAAGAUUAGAGGCUGUGGUUGUGAUGAGUUAGAUGAUCAUAAAGUUGUCAAGAUUAUGUUGGAAGCUUAUUCACCAAGAAAUGAGACCGUAGUCACUCUAAUUAGAAACAAGAAGAAGUUUGAGUACUUCACACCAAAUGAUGUAUUUGGGAGGAUUUUGACAUUUGAUAUGCAAAGAGAAGAAGCCAAUGAAAGAAAGAAGCUUGGUGAGCUGCAAGCAAAGCUAGAAGGCAUCAAGAUCAAUGAUGAUGUAGCUCUCAAAGCCAACAAGUCAACCAAACGACCCUCUACAAGCAAGUCCAAGUCCAACAAGCAAGCAUCAACUAGCAAUACCAAAGCACCAAAGCAAGUCAAAGAAGUAGAGACAACAUCAUCAUCAAGUGAAGAUAAAAGUGAUAGUGAACAAUAUGAGAAAGUGCAAGAUAUUGCUCUUUUUUGAGAAGAUAUCAAAAGGGACUAAAAAAGCAAGGCUACAAGGUAGUGAAGAGAAAGUUCCCAAACAAGAAGAAGAGGCUAUGCUACAAUUGUGGAAGCACCGAACAUCUCAUUGCUCAUUGUCCUCAUGAAAUCGAAGACAACAAUUACAAGAGAGACAAGAAAGAGAGCAAGACCGACUACAAAAAGAGCAAAAGACACAUGGGAGAAGCUCACAUUGGACAUGAAUGGGACUCAACAAAAGAUAGCUCAAGUGAGGAGGAUGAGAAGAUUGCAACUGUGGCUAUUCACGAGCCAUCCUCCACACCAAGGCUCUUCAACAACAUGUUUGAUGAUGACUACUACUCCCCUCACAUUUAUCUUAUGGAAAAGGGUGAGAAGGUAAAAUCCAAAUCCAAUCCUUCUCCCCCUCGUGAGACAUCUAGUAGUGAUAUAAGUGAUUACUCCAGUGAUGAUGUGUCUAGUGAUGAAGAAAUAACAUAACUAAAAAUUGGGAUAGCAAGACCAAACUGUUCAUCACUAAGCUAAUGGAGGAUUUAGAGAGUGUUCAAGCUGAGUUAGAAUCUAGUGAAGAGACUCUUAUCAAACAAGAGAACCUUUACAUUGCUAGCAAGGAAGCUCUUGUUUUAGAGAGAAGUGAGGUGGAAUCCUUGUGCAAGGCUUUGGCCAAAGAGCAAGGGGACCAUGCUAUCACAAAGAAAGCAAAUAUUGCCCUCAAGCAAAAGUAUUGUGACUUAGAUGGAAAGUACAAGCAACUUGAGGAACAAUAUAGCAUUCUUUGGGAUAGCAACUCACAUCCCUCUAAGACAAAGGAUGGCUCUACUCCCUCCACUAGUCAAGGUUGUGGAAAAUGUUAUAAUCUUGAUUUGAAUGCUCAUUCUACUAACCUUGUUAACUUAGAGACUAUGAGAAAGGAGAUUGAAAGGCUCAAUGAGAUCAUUAGUAAGAAUUGCUUGGGUGGUAAGGCACAAGUGAGUCAUAAAAGGGAAAAUGAUCCAAAAGGGCCUCAAUUCAAGCAAGGGAGACAUCCCUCAAUCAAGUAUGGGCUUGGACACACAAUAGGAGCCAAGACAAAUGGAAGAAAGAUAAUCAAUGGCUAUGAGUGUGUCAAGUUUGAAAGGAAGGGCAAAAUUGGUGUAUAGCGGCCUGCACAGAUUGUGACAAUACAACGUCCCCGAGCGGUAGUGCCACAUAGUGGCAAUACCAAGAUGAAGGACGGUAAUGUCACUCCCCGCAAAAAUGGGAAGGCUACCAAUUUUGUUCCUAAUCAAACUAAGCCCGAAAAGAAAGUGACAUACAAGGAAAAGAAGAUUUCCCAAAAGCCAAAGGAAUUAAUAUGGGGAACUCCAAACAAGUAUGCUUAUCAACCAAAGGUCCAUGCACCUCAACAAAGCUUGUCAUCAUGCUUUGUGUUGAAAAGUAACAACCGUGGUGAAGUUGUUGCUAAGUAUGUUGGCAAGGAGACCAGUGUCUACAAGAAUACUUCCAUUUGGGUUCCUAAGAUACUUGUGACUAACAUGCAAGGCCCCAAGUCUAUUUGGGGACCUCAAUCUAGCAACUAAACUUGUUUUGCAGGCAUACUCCUCCGGUGGAUCAAGUUGGGUGCUUGAUAGUGGAUGUACAAAUCAUAUGACCGGAGAAAGGAGUAUGUUCCAAUCAUAUACCCCAAAGGUGGACUCAAAUGAGAACAUUGUCUUUGGAGACAAUUCUAAAGGGGAUGUGCUUGGUCUCGGUAAAGUUGCUAUAACCCUUGAGCAUUCAAUUACAAAUGUUUUGCAUGUUGAUUCGUUGAGCUAUAAUUUGUUAUCCGUUUCUCAAUUGUGUGAGAUGGGUUACAAUUGUCUCUUUACGGAUAAGGGUGUGGAAGUCUUUAGAAGGGAGGAUUCCUCUAUUGUCUUUACGAGUCGUUUAAAGAAUAAGCUUUACCUAGUUGAUUUCAAUAAAAGUAAAGCUAAUCUUGAGACCUGUUUAGUGGCAAAAUCUAGCAUGGGUUGGCUUUGGCAUCGCCGACUAGCCCAUGUUGGGAUGAGGAACUUGGCCAAACUUCAAAAGGAUGAACACAUUCUUGGACUAACAAAUGUUCACUUUGAGAAAGAUAGGAUAUGUAGAGCUUGUCAAGCUGGAAAGCAAGUUGGCGUACCUCACCCACCAAAGAGCAUCAUGACCACCAGACAACCAUUGGAGCUCAUCCACAUGGAUCUUUUUGCACCGGUCGCCUACCUAAGUAUCGGGGGUAACAAAUAUGGUCUUGUUAUUGUUGAUGACUAUUCCCGUUUCACUUGGGUAUUUUUCUUGUUUGAUAAGUGUCAAGUUAGGGACAAAGCGAAGACAUUUGUUAGAAGAGCUCAAAAGGAGUUUGGUCUCCUCAUCAAGAAGAUGAGAAGUGAUAAUGGGACCGAAUUCAAGAACACUCAAGUUGAGGAGUUCCUUGGUGAAGAGGGCAUCAAGCAUGAGUUCUCAAGUCCAUACACCCCUCAACAAAAUGGUGUAGUAGAGAGGAAGAACCGAACACUCAUUGAUAUGGCAAGGACAAUGCUAGAUGAGUACAAGACUUCAAAUUUGUUUUGGUGUGACGCUGUCAACACUGCUUGCCAUGCCAUCAAUCGCCUCUACCUACACAAGAAAUUGAAGAAAACUUCAUAUGAGCUUCUAACCGGUAACAAACCAAAGGUGUCUUACUUUAGAGUGUUUGGGUGUAAGUGUUUCAUACUUAACAAUAAACCCAAAACAUCUAAGUUUGCAUCUAAAGUUGAUGAAGGUUUUCUUCUUGGUUAUGGAUCAAAUGAGCAUGCCUAUCGUGUUUUCAACAAAACCUCUAGGAGAGUUGAAAUAGCGGUAGAUGUGACAUUUGAUGAAUCUAAUGGCUCUCAAGUAGAGCAAGUUGAUUCAAGUGUUGUAGGAAAGGAGGAUCCACAUUGUGAUGCAAUCAAACAAUUGGCUAUUGGUGAUAUUAGGCCACGAGAAGAUGAAGUCACUGAUGUGGUGGUUUCCCAAGCUGCUGGUGAACAAGUUUCCGCUGAUGUACCUAAUAGUGAGGGGGAGCAAACCCCUACUGCAGCACAACAGAGCAGUUGUGCCAUACCUAAGAGUGGUAAUGCCACACCCCCUUCAACAACAGCAGCAAGUCCGACUCAAAUUCGAGGACAAAACCUACAACCCAUAUUUGAAGAAGAAGAAGUUGAAAAUUUAGAAAGUGAUCAAGAGGCCAUCGAGCAUCCAAGACUCAAGCAAAUCAUUCAACGAGAUCACCCCAUCGACAACAUCCUUGGGAGUCUUCGAAAGGGGGUAUUGACACGUUCUCAUUUAGCAAAUUUUUGUCAAUAUUACUCUUUUGUUUCUCCUGUCGAACCAGUCAAGGUUGAAAAGGCUCUUGAAGAUGAGGACUCGGUGAUGGCCAUGCAAGAAGAGUUGAAUAACUUUGAAAGAAAUGAAGUUUGGACAUUGGUGGAAAGACCCAAGACGAACGUGAUUGGCACCAAGUGGGUCUUCUGCAACAAGCAGGAUGAAAAUGGAGUGGUGACUAGGAACAAAGCAAGAUUGGUUGCUCAAGGCUACACUCAAGUAGAGGGCUUGGACUUUGAAGAAACAUAUGCACCAGUGGCAAGGCUUGAGGCAAUCCGAAUGCUUUUAGCCUUUGCUGCCCAUCAUAACUUCAAGCUAGAUCAAAUGGAUGUCAAAAGUGCAUUUCUCAAUGGCCCUGUCCAAGAGCUUGUCUAUGUUGAGCAACCACCGGGUUUUGAAGAUCCCAAAUUCCCCAACCACGUCUACAAACUCCAAAAGGCGCUCUAUGGGCUUAAGCAAGCACCAAGAGCAUGGUAUGAAUGCCUUAAGGAAUUCUUGCUCAAACAAGGCUUUGAAAUAGGCAAAGCUGAUCCUACCCUUUUCACUCGCAAAGUCAAUAAAGAUAUAUUUGUGUGCCAAAUAUAUGUCGACGACGUAAUAUUUGGUAGUACUAACCAUGAGUUUUGUGAGGAAUUUAGUAGGAUCAUGACCAAGAGAUUUGAGAUGUCUAUGAUGGGUGAAUUGAAGUUUUUUCUUGGUUUUCAAAUCAAGCAAUUGAAGGAUGGAACUUUCAUUAGCCAAACUAAGUACACCCAUGAUAUGUUAAAGAAGUUUGACAUGGCGAAUGCAAAGCCCAUAAAAACUCCCAUGCCAACCAAUGGACAUCUUGAUCUUAAUGAGGAAGGGAAAGUCAUCGACCAACAGGUAUAUCGCUCCAUGAUCGGCUCUCUACUCUAUUUGUGUGCAUCUAGGCCUGAUAUUAUGCUUAGUGUCUGCAUGUGUGCUAGAUUUCAAGCUAACCCAAAAGAGUGCCACUUAGUGGCUGUUAAGAGAAUCUUGAGAUAUUUAGUACACACUCCUAACCUUGGCUUGUGGUAUCCUAAGGGCUCUAAGUUUGAUCUACUUGGGUAUUCGGAUUCCGAUUAUGCCGGUUGCAAAGUGGAUCGAAAAAGCACUUCGGGGACAUGUCAAUUCCUUGGGCAGUCCCUAGUGUCUUGGAGUUCUAAAAAGCGAAAUUGUGUAGCCCUUUCCACCGCCGAGGCCGAGUAUGUUGCAGCCGGUGCAUGUUGUGCUCAACUACUUUGGAUGAGGCAAACCCUUCGUGAUUUCGGAUGUCGCUUUACCAAAAUCCCAUUGUUGUGUGACAAUGAAAGUGCCAUAAAGCUUGCAAACAAUCCUGUAAGACAUUCAAGAACUAAGCACAUAGACGUCCGACAUCACUUCUUGAGAGACAUGAAGCCAAAGGAGAUAUCGAAAUUCGUCAUGUGAGCACCGAAAAGCAACUAGCCGAUAUCUUCACUAAACCUCUUGAUGAGACAAGGUUUUGUGCUUUGCGUAGUGAGCUAAAUAUACUUGAUUCUCUUAACGUGGUUUGAAAUUUAGCACACCUUUGAUUGAUCAACUAGUAUCUAGGCAAAAGGUUUGCAAAAAGGUUCAUAAUGUGGUUCAAAAUGCUUUAUCAAAAGAGAACUUGCAUUUUAUGGUCAUUACAUGUUCUUGUUCAUCUGUUGCUGACCAUAAUAUGUUAAGUUAGUUGUAUCUCUCUUUCUUCUUUUCUCACUUUUUGGUGCUUGUUGCCAAAGGUGGAGAAUGGGAGGGGGGUACAAUUUUUUUUCUCCUUGCCUUGAAUGAUUGUGUGCAUACUUGUCAUACGCAUCACGUAUAUUCCUGUGACACUAUGUGCAGCACCCCACAGAAGUAUGGAUGUAGAGGAAGCCCCAUCACUUAACUCUAUAUGUGAAUUUUGGCCUCUUAUGCCAGUUUGAGAAUUCAAUUCUCCAUUCACAUAUUUAGGGGGAGUCUCUACACCCAUGACUUUAAAAUCUCAGUUAUACUUUAAAUAUUUUUGUAAGCUCUAGUUGUGUUGUCAUCAAUCACCAAAAAGGGGGAGAUUGUAAGUGCAAUCAAGCCCUAGUUGUGGGUUUUGGUGAUAAUGACCACACAAUUAGAGGACUAAUGAGAUUUGUUGAGAUGGCAAGCAGGUAAAAUAAGAAUGAGGGUAACACAUGAUAUGUGAGAUGGCAAAAGCCCAAUUACCAAAUGAUGUGGUGAUGGACUCAAAGGCAUUUUAAUUAUUUAAUAUUUAAUCUUGAGUUUAGGCUAUGCCGCACUAUAAAGACGGAUGCAAAUUUAGUUGGUCUGAGGAAGAUAGAGUGCUCAAGUAUUAAAACUAAAUCAAAAGAGAGACACUCUAGCACUUCACGAGCACGUAGAAUAGUUUUUUAAGACUUGUGGUGUCGGAAGUCCCGACGUGCGUCGGAACUGAUGACGCAUGUCGGAACUGAUGACGUUCGUCGGAAGUCCCGACACCUGGCCCUCUUGCUACCUCUGCUCGCGCUUGCGUCGGAAGUCCCGACGCGCGUCGGAACUAAUGACGCAUGUCGGAACUGAUGACGUUCGUCGGAAGUCCCGACACCUGGCCCUCUUGCUACCUCUGCUCGCGCUUGCGUCGGAAGUCCCGACGUACGUCGGAACUGAUGACGUGUCGGAAGUGAUGACAUGUGUCAGAACUGAUGACGCGUCGGAACUGGUGACGUGCGUCGGAACUGAUGACGUUGAUUGGUUUUGUAUAGACUUCUGACCAAGUGAACAGUGUUUUUAGUAUAUGUCAGAAGUCCUGAGAUCCGCGUCGGAACUUCCGACCUAGAUCUGAACGGUUAGUUUUCAACUUCUUGUAUAAAUAGCUUUCUCAACGUUUCUAACCGUUACAGACUUAUUCUAAGCAACUCACUCACGACCCCAACAGCUCUCAAGCUCUCAAGGCUCUCCUCUCCUCUCCCCUUUGCUCCAAACUUCGAUUCCCCAAGGUUUUGAGUGGUAGGAGAGUAGAUUGAGUGAGAAAAUCUUCUAGCAAGCUUGAGCACUUGAGUUCUUCGUCAAGCCGGUUGGGUUUGCGUCUAUUACUCUUGGGUUCUUAGAACCCUAGCCGGCUAGGCGUCACCCAAGAGCUCCCGAUCUGUGGGAGGACCUUGGGAAGUUUGUAUUACCCUUGAUUUUCUAGUGAAGAACUCAAGUUUACCUUUGUGGUUGCUUGAGAGAGGCAAGGAGGUGAAAGAGACUCCGACCUUAGUGGUCACCUCAACAACGAGGACGUACGCAAGCCUUAGUGGCGAGCCGAACCUCAGGAUAAAUCUUUGUGUCCCGUGUGCUUAUUGUCGUUGUGAUUACUUGAGAUUACUUGUUCUUUGUUGUCUCUUUCUCUCUCAAGCCAUUUCUUAGGUUUUGGUCCCGAUCUACAAAUUGGUGGUGGUUCAAGGUCAAGGAAGCACUUGGAUUACUUCAUCUUACCACUAGAAAGUGGGGUUGUAAGUUAUUGCCUUCACAAAGUUUAUUUAGGCACUUGUAGUUCAUUUCCCGUAGGCGUCGGAACUUCUGACGGUUUGCGUCGGAACUUCUGACAGUUUGCGUUGGAACUUCUAACACUUUGCGUCAGAAGUUUCGACCUGAACUGUCAUAACUUCCGACAGUUGCUGACAAGUGACUUUGAGUUGUGUAGAAAAUUAGUAGAUACGCCUAUUCACCCCCCUCUAGGCUUACCAUGGAUCCUUACAAUUAGGACAUAAAACCUUAUUUCUGGUGGACAAAGAUGAAAAAGGAAAUUGCAGCCUAUGUUGCUAGGUGUGACACAAGCUGCAGGGUAAAGGCAAUUCACCUUAAACCUGUAGAUCUGUUGCAACCUUUGUCAGUUCUAGGUUGUAAGUGAGAAGAAAUCAGCAUGGACUUCAUUGUUGGACUUCCCCCUACACAAAAGGGUUUCAAUUCAAUCUUGGUGAUUGUUGAUCGCCUCACCAAAUCAGCUCAUUUCAUCCUAGUGCGAUCUAACUACCAUCCAUGUGAUUGUGUAGAGUUUUAUUUCUCUCAGAUAGUCCGAUUGCAUGGAGUACCUAGAACCAUUAUUUCUGAUCAAGGUCCUCAGUUCACUACUCGUUUCUUGGAACACUUGCAUUCACUCCUUGGUACUAAGUUGGUUCACAGUUCAGCUUAUCAUCUUCAAACUUCUGAUCAAACUGAGCGUGUGAAUCAAGUUCUAGAGGAUAUGUUGAUGGCACGUGUCAUCUCUUCCAAGGGGGCAUGGGAGAAAUGGCUACCCUUAGCUGAACUCUCUUAUAACAAUAGCUACCAAGAGAGUAUCCAAAUGGCUCCUUUUGAAGUAUUAUAUUAUCGCAAAUGUUGGACUCCUUUGAACAGGGUUAAACCGAGAUACUACGACACUGAUUUUGUUGAGGAAGCCAUGAAGUAGGUUCUCACUAUUCAGAAACACAUAGAAGCUGCACAGGCUAGACAAAAAAGCUAUGCAGAUUGAAGGAGGAGACCACUCAAAUUUGAAGUAGGUGACUAUGUGUACCUAAAGGUAUCCCCUAUGAAAGGAGUAAAUCGCUUUGGUGUGAAGAGAAAGCUUGCUCCUAGAUAUGUGGGUCCCUACCAAAUUAUUGAAAAGAGUGGCAAGGUGGCCUACAAGGUGCAAUUACUUUAUGAGAUGAGAGCUAUUUUCCUUGUGUUCCAUGCGUCCCAAUUAAAGAAGUGCCUUCGUAUUCUUGAAGAAAGAGUAGAAACUAGAGGCAUUAAGUUGUAGUCUGAUCUAUCUUAUGAAGAUGCAAGUACUUGAUUUCAAAGAGAGAGUUACUCAGGGGUGGAUGAUCAAACUUUAUAGAGUAUUGUGGAAAAACCAAAGUGAACAGGAUGCCACCUGGGAAAGGGAAUAUUAUUUACAAGCAACUUACCCCUACUCUUAUGUAAAAUGGUACGUCUUUCAAAUCUCGGGACGAGAUUUUUGUAAGGGGGGAGGGCUGUAAGACUUCUAGUGUUAGCCUUGCAUGUUAAGCAUUUGCAUUGCAUUAGCAUGAGCAUUAUCACUUUCAUUCAUAAGCAUCAUACCAAGGUCAUGUCUCAUUUCAUGUGAAACUUGUAUACAAAGGAUUGCUUGAAUGCUUAUAUAUGUGUAUACUAUAGUAUGACCAAUGCAAAUAGGUGUCCUCUGUCCUCACAAAUACUUUAACUAAGCUUAGAGUGUGUUUUGGGAGAAUGUUCAUGUUGGAGGUUUCACCCAAAAAUGCCCCUAUGUCAUGGUAACCUUAGUUUGACCCACUUUGACCUCCUAAACCUCUUUUCAAAUACCUUUUAUGAACUCAGUGUUAGAGACCUUGCAUGGAGGUGCACCCUUAAGAAACGUUUUAGUAAAUUUUAUAAGCUACAAAAGUUGUUUUGGGGUCAUCUCAUGAAAAUAUGUGGAACAUGUUCAAAAGUGGCCCACAAGACAGAUUUGGGACUGUUUUCAACACUUAGAAAGUUUUCUGCCUAAGUCUGUUUACACAGUUUCGAGGUAGGGUACAUGGGAGCAUUGUAGUUUGAAAUCUAGGGCGAAUUAGACCAUGAUUCUUUAAGUAAACUUGUAGUACUCAUGUAGCUCUACAAUAUGAAACAACUGGUUGGCCAAAUGAUCAAACAAAUCAGGAGUAAAACGUCGGUGAAGACUGAGUUUUAGUCACUGCCGAUGACCACUGAAUCAAGCGAUUCAGUAUCGUCAGAAAAAGGCACCCUGAGCAAUUGCAGCAUCCAUUUCCUCCCCCUGCCUUCUUUCUCUCACCCGUUUUCUUCCCCAGCGAGCUCCGCCGUGCAAUGGCGACCUUGCCAGUGCUCCUCGCCGCAGCACCGGCCAAGCCACCGCGCCAAAAGCUUCACCUGAGUGUCCUCUACCUCGACGUCACCUCCAUUACCACAGCCGAGCUCUGCGUGGAUUCAUCCUCACCGAAGAUCCGCCGAGCUCAUAGGCGACGUGACCAGAGCUCUGUGGUCCACCAUUUUUUUCUCAUUCUUGUUCCAAUUGCUUCCUCUUGACUCACUGAUGCUCGGCGUGAACCUCAACCGCGUCAACAUCGACUGAGCAUGCUGGCGUAUCGUCCGCAGCGCCGCUGAGCCGCCAUUGGCGCCUGUGAGCACUCUAUAGCUCGGUAGAGUUAGGGAAACUUACCUCAUUAGGUUCGCCUUGAGGAGAGGAACACAACCAUGCCAUUGGUUUCCGCCGAGACCUCGCCGCCGUCGAGUUUCACCGGCGACGAGCUCGUCUCUACUUCCUGUGUCACUGUCGAGUCCGUCCUGCUCACCUGUGGGGUCCCCUCGUCAGUCCCCCUCUCUCUAUUUAUUUUUUGGCAGAUUUGGUGCUGUUUUUGUAAAAUCCAUAUCUGGAGUUUGGCAGAUCCAAAUUGGGUGAUUUGAAUUUUGUCAUGUUCUUAAGACAGUCUAGUUUUCAUUAAAAAUAUGAAACAUGACAUGUGUUUACAGAAAUAUUUAGUUAUAAAUUAUCUCUUUUAUUCCCUAAUAAAAAGAGGAUAAUAAUAUCUCUAGAUGUGUAAGUCCUAUGGCCAUGAAAAUUUAGGGAGAUGUUACUUAUGCUAUGAUUAGACUCUGGUACAUUUUGCAUGAAUUUGGGAUGCUGUAUGAUGAAGUUAUAAUUAUCCCUUGUUUAAAUAGGAGCUUCUUGUGGUAUUUUUAAUAAAUAGGUUAUAGCUCCUAUUGGGAUGAAACUUGCUGGAUGAUGUAGCUAAGUUAAUAUAAAGCUCUGAAAAAUCUGAAAUCUGUUGUUUGACACUUUUUGAUAGGGUUUCCCAUUUAUGCCUUUAAUGCCUUUAUUAGCUUAUUAUUUUUGUACACUAUUAUUUGCAUGUCCAAAGGCAAUGAAAAUUUUACAGUAGCCUUAUUCAUGCAUGAAUAGCUUGCUGUAAUUUGGUUGGAAUUUUUGGAGCACUUAUGAUAUAUGCUCAUUAAUUCACCAUUAAUCAUCAAUAAAUAGAAAAAAGUAUAUUUCAAGAUAGUUUGGGUCUUGUCAUGGAGUUUUAUAAUGUUUCUCAGAUAUACUCUAGGUGUUGGUGCUUUUAGUUUGGAUCAAUGUUACUUUCUCAAUAUGUGGUAAGAUAUUAUUUUGCUAAUUAUGCCUUGUCUACAGCAAUUUCUGUGUAGCUGAUAGAACUUCCUUAAGAACUAUAUGAAGAUGAGGUUUGCCGGAAAUCUUCUUUAUAACAAACUUGUAGAUAACUUGCUCGUCUACUUUUUGUCCAAAUUUCAUAACAUUUGUGUUGGGCACCAUAAAAAGGGAUACCCAAAUCAGAGCAAUAAAAAACGCAAAAGCCAAAGCAAAUCAUCCAUAAUCACCAGGGCGCGGGCCCUGUCUCGUCUGGCUCCUUGGCCUCGGGUCCAAACCACGGCUUGCCCGACCCCGUUGGGCCUCGGACGCGAGUUCCGUUUCGCCCGACCCCCUGGGGCUCGGACGCGAGUUCCGUCUCGCCCGACCCCCCUAGGCCUCGGACGCGAGUUCCGUCUCGCCCGACCCCCCUGGCCCUCGGACGCGAGUUCCGUCUCGCCCGACCCCUCUAGGGCUCGGGUGCCGACGCCGUUUCGCCCGAUCCGCCAUCACAGUGCAAGGCUUCCGACGCACAGCGCCCGUACCCACGACGUGACCGGCAAGUAUAAAGUGCGCACUACCGAAGGAAGUGCGGUGUGCGGGGGACCAUUGGCGUAAGACCAGCAGGUGAGUUAAAAGUUCUGACCUCCCUGGCAGAGUGGUAGCCCUAGGAGUGCGGCGCUGAUCGGAGCCGCGAUUCCUGAGUCGUACCAAAGGUGACCCGCUUGCUCUCUGACGGGGGAAGCAUGGGUGAGUGUUAGGAAUAACCCUCCAGCUGGAUAGGAAUCGAUUCGAAUCGCCGUCUCUCCCGGAUAGUGAGAACUUGACAGAGCAGCGGCAAACGUAGCAUUCACUAAACAACCUAAUGGUUCUAUGAUGAUGAUGAUGAUGAUCACGGCCUUGAUAAACCUGAUAUGGUUAUUAUUGAUUGAUAUUAAUCAAGUGAUUGCUAUAGUACAGGUGCUAAUCUAGUUCAUAGGUUAAUGAGAAUUAAAUGGAUGCUAAAUAAGAAAGGUUUAACUAUUUAUACUUAAGAUUUUUAUGCAAAAUAUUGUCCAACAAGCUCCACUUAUAUAUCAGCCUUGCAUACUCCUUGGUGUCAUUAUUUGUGGUUUAUGACGGGUAAGUCUAGCUGAGUAGAUUCUCGUACUCAGGGUUUUAUUCCCACUCGUUGCAGGUUGUGAUGUAUCAUAGCUACUGCAAGAUUUGGAUGACUCCUGCUGUAGUGAAGGAGUAAGAUCAUGGGCAUGAUCCUUCCUACUUACCUCAUCUAGGAUGCUUUUGUUGGAAUGGACCAUGGUACUGGCAUGUAUUUGAAAUAAAAUUGAUAUUGGGUUCAAAUUACUUUGCUUCUGCUAUUUGUAAACUUGAGUUGUAAUAACCUUAUCGAUCUCCGAUGUAUUUGAACUACUUGCGAAAUGUAUGUAACGUGUGAUUUGUUAUGUUGAAUCACUAUGAUCUUGGCUUGUAUGUUGGUUGGAUUGAAAUCCCUCGUGAUUUCGUUGGACUAUCGGAGUUAUAUGGGCUCAAGUAUGAUAAAUUGAUCGCUUCGGUGAUUGUUUUUGUACUUGUGCUCUUAUAAUUUGGACGGUUCCGUGACACUGGCCCAAGAGCAGUCCGGCCGCGGGGAUGGGGGUGAGGCAAGACGCUGCGCCCGGGACGUCAACCGCCGCAUCAUCGAGGAUGAAGGGGGUGACAACCCCCUAGUCUUCAGCACGGCCAGCCAGAACGUGAUGGCUGCCGCACUCCUCCUCAGAGCGAUGCCCGAGCCGUUGACUCCCGAGGGGAGAAGGGUGCGCCAGGGGCUACGUAGCCUCCUGGAGCAAGCUGUGGUGCAGAACGCAGAGAGUUCUGCAUCACAGUCCCACGGCACGAGACGCCAAGGGGACCGACCCCCUUCUAACAGGGCACCAACGGUGCAGGGUCCGCCGCCCCCCAAACCGCAAGGGGGCAAUAGGGCCCCAUCUGUCCACGAACGCGUCGGGGCCGACGCGGACGUCCGGGCCACCCUCGAGGCUAGACGGCGUGACAGGGACGAGGCCGAGUCUCGACAUUAUCGACCGCGCCGAGGCGGGAGGUACGACCCUGACCACGACCGCAGCACGUCGCCAGAGCCUCCGGGCCCCCGUGUCUUCAGCGAGGCCAUUCGCAGGGCCAAGUUCGCGACACGAUUUCGACAGCCUGCUAACCUCACCAAGUACUCGGGGAGACCAACCCUGAGCUCUGGCUAGUGGACUACCGCCUAGCAUGUCAACUGGGCGGAGCGGACGAUGACUUACUCAUCAUCCGCAACCUGCCACUCCACCUGGCCGAUACGGCCAGAGCAUGGCUCGAGCACCUCCCUGAGCGCAUGAUCCACGACUGGGCCGACCUGGUCAAGAUCUUCGUCGGGAGCUUCCAGGGCACAUAUGUGCGCCCUGGGAACUCCUAGGACCUCAGGAGCUGCCGGCAGAAGCCUGAUGAGUCCCUCCGAGACUUCAUCAGGCGUUUCUCCAAGCAGUGCACCGAGCUCCCCAACAUCACGGACUCCGACGUCAUCAGAGCCUUCGUCUCCGGUACCACCUGCAAGAAGCUGGUACAUGAGCUCGGCCGCAAGACUCCCACGAGCACCAGCCAGCUGCUCGACAUCGCCACCAACUUUGCCUCAGGCGAAGAGGCUGUUGGUGCCAUUUUCUCCGACGGCACGGCCAAGGGGAAACAAAAGGCCGAGGCCAUCGAGGCCUCGGGCUCACACGAUCCCAAGAAGAAGAAGAAGAAGGGUCGCAAGGGGAAGCAGGGUCAGUCGAACGACAACCUAGUCGCCGCGGCAGAUCGCAAGAACCCCAAGCGGGCUCCUGCUGGCCCCGGUCUCUUCGACGAGAUGUUGAAGAAGCCGUGCCCCUAUCACAGGGGACCAACUAAGCACACCCUUGAGGAGUGCACUGUCCUGCAUCGGACUACACCGACAUGAUAUCCAAGGAGGGCGCUGAAGAGCCCCCCAAGGACGACGACCCUUAGGGGGAAGGCUUCUCCAAGGUCAAGAACUGUCUCUUGAUCUUUGGGGGACGCGCGGGUCGCCUCACCGCGAGUCAAAGGAAGUGCAAACUCCGAGAAGUUUGCGCAGUCAGCACGGCCGUGCCCUCGUACCUCAAGUGGUCCGAGAGUGCGAUCACAUUCGAUCUGCAGGAUCACCCAGACCGGAUCCCCAACCCCGGGAGCUAUCCGCUGAUCGUCGACCCCAUCAUCGCCGAGACUCGUCUCACCAAGGUGUUGAUGGACGGAGGCAGCGGCCUCAAUAUUUUUUACGCCAAGACUUUGGCCCUCAUGUGGAUCAGCAAGUCUCGGCUGAGGAACGACACAUAACCAUUCCACGGAGUGGUGCCGGGACAUCGCGCCCACCCCCUCGAGCAGAUUUAUCUGCCCGUCUGCUUUGGGACCCCCGAGAACUUUAGACGGGAGGUUCUCACUUUCGACGUGGUUGGGUUCCCAGGAACCUACCACGCGAUCCUGGGGCGACCAUGCUAUGUCAAGUUCAUGGCCAUCCCCAACUACACCUACCUCAAGCUUAAUAUGCCAGGGCCAAACGGCAUCAUCACCGUCAACACGACCAGCCAGCACGCCUACCAGUGCGACGUCGAGUGCAUCGAGCAGGCCGAGGCUAUAGCUGAGUCUCUGUCUAUCCUCACCAGCCUCGGCGACGGUGACCAGGACAUCCCCUGUAACACCCUAGGUGUUAAGCAUGCACUUAGUCUCAUCAAGGUCAUGCAUAAGCAUUUCCAUCAAGCAUAAGCAUCAUGAGCAUGACACUCUUUUCAAAUUAUGAUUUUAUGUGCUUUAAUUAUGUUAAAAUGUGAUGCUUGUUUCUAAAAUUGUGAAAUAUUCAAAUUAGGUUGCUUUAUGUGUAAGAAGAAUUAAGAACAUUUUUGUGCAAUUUUUGGAGCUAUGGAAAUUGAGAAAUGGAAUUUAUACAAAAUAUCCAAAAUAACUUUAUUUAAAAACCUAGAACUAAGUUUUAAUUUGUAAUUCAAAUUCUAUUUAGAAUUUGGUCUUACCUAUUAAAGCAAAGUUGUAGAGCUUUUAGUUUGGCACCACUUUGCUUUUGGGUGAAGAUGGCGAAAAUAAUUUGAAAAUGUCAAAAUGAAUUUAUGAGAGAAUUUGAGAAAAGAAAUUCAAAAAAAAAUAGAAAAGGGAAAGGGGGCGCUAGCAGGCCGCGGCCUCGCUUCUGGCCCGCUGGCCGAAGCCGGCCUGGCCCGCCCGCGCCUUCCCCUUCCCCCUCCUCGCGCUCGCGCCCGCGUCCACGCGCGCGGACGGCCUCGCCGUGCCGCCGUGGCGCGCCGGCAGAGCCUGGCCGCCGCGUGGCGGGCAUGCGGCGGCGUGGAGACGCCCUGGUCGGCCACCAGGAGCCCCUGGACGCGCCCGCCGAAGCCCCCGCUCCCAUUUGCGCCCUCCACCGCUCGCUCUCGCCUCUCUGCUCGCCCUCGCGCAGCGCUCACCGCUCCGCCGCACGCCAUAGCCGCCGACGGCUCGGAGCUUCCCUCCCGGCCAGCUCCGGCCCUCUCCUUCCCCUUCACGACCACCACCGGCUCCGCCUCGUCCUUCCGCGUCUCGUGCUUGCGCUCUUCCGCGCUCGGUAAGCCCUGCGUGCCCGCUAGAGCUCACCGGAGUUAGUCAGAGCUCCGGCGACCUCUCGGCUCGCACGGUUCUCCCUCUCCUCUCUGUCUCUGCUCGCGUUCAUAGGUGCUUUGGGUCCGCCUUGACCUCGCGCACCUUUUCCCGUCACUAGCUCACGCUCUACCGCCGUGAAACGGCCGGACCACGGCGGGCAGCGCCGCCGCGUCCACCAUUCACGACGGCGAGGUAGUUCCGGUGCUCGUCCGGUGCCAAAGAGGGUACGGCUGGACUCGUCUCGUUCGCGCGAAGCCGUAGGUGCUCACGGUGUCGCCGGAAACCUCACCGGCGGCGAGAUUCCGGCCGAUCUUUGGCCGCGGGGUCACGGGGUGGAUGAUAGGUGGGGUCCCCUGACCCGCGUGUCCCGCCUGUCAGUGACUCCGAGGGUUUGAAUCCGGGUGCGCUUAGCGUUUUGGGUGACUUUCCGUUUUAAAAGUUUUUCCAGGAAAUGAUUUAAAUGUUCAAAAAUCCAUAUCUUGAUGAAUAUAGCUCCAAAAAUGGUGAAAUAAAUUUUGGUGUGUUCCUUAUUUCCAGAUCUAUAGCCUAAUAUGAUUGCAUGUCAUGUUUGAGUAACUUUCCUGUAAGAAUAUAAUUAAUCCAUGUUUUUCCUAAACUUGGAAAAUGCAUAGUAAAUAAAAUAGGGUUCAGAAAAAUGUAAAACUUGUUUUGCUGGCUCUGCAUGUGUGUUUAACCACUGAGAAAAUAUUGUUACAUAUUAUUUGGUGUAUAAAUGAAUUUAUGGUAAUUUAAAUGCUUGCAUGGCAGUGCUUUAUGAUUUUUAAUAAUUAAAUGGGUCAUGCAAUAAAUCUGGAAAAUUUUGUGGGUGUUUCUUAUGAUAUUAGAUGAAUUGUAAAAAUAUGAAAUCUGUUGUUUGACACUUAUAUCACAGUAGGGUGAUUAUACUUGCCUUAUCCAUUAAUCUUGUGAUUUUUGUGGCUCAAAAUAAGUAACCAAAAAUUAUGAAAAAUUUACAGUAGACUUUAUGAUUAGCUAGUAGUCUCCUGUAAUUUUUCUGGAAUUUAUUGAUGAACAGAAUUGCAUGUGAUUUUUAAUGGGCUUAGAAAUGAAUAAAGAAAAUUAUGAAUGGUUGUGUAUGUAGGUUGAAUGGACUAAGUUGGGUUUGGUGUAUCUUUGAAGCAUCAUGUAGGUUGCUGAUUUCAUUUGAAAAAUAUUUGUAGAAGAGAAUGCAAUAGAUGCUUAAUCCAAGUGCCUGUUCUUGGAUGAUGUUGCAUACAUUGUAAUGAACAUGACCAAGUGUAUCAUCCAUGCAUCAUGUCAUGGUCCUUUGGUACUUUCUCAUACAAGCAUCCACUCGGGCAUCUCGCACUCCACUCAUGAGCAUAUAUGCAUCAUACAGGCUCGCAGGAGAACGAAGUGGGACCCGAGGAACCCGAGGAGAUACAGGAGCAGGAACCUCCGGAAACACAGGAAACCGGAGAGGAAUUGCAAGAGUGUCCGGAUCACCGACCCAGCACCUUUGAGAAAGGCAAGCCCCGGAGCAUUCUAAGUCUCCCUAUUCUCGCUAACUUAUAUAAAGUGCUAUACUUGUUCUACUGUAUUGCAUAUUAAGUGAUAGGAGUUGCCUGAUACCGUUGCUGCAUGCGUACUCCUUGUUAUUCCUACUCAUUCAACUACCUUGUCCUAUGUAGAUAGGCACGGAGUCUAUGCUUAGCUUGCUUAGUUCGGUAGAAGUCGGGUGAUUCCCUGUCACCUGCGAGAUAUAGGUGGAUACCUGCUUGAUUAAGCAUUGGUUGCUCGGGGAAAAGAAUAACCAAGUGUGGAAUGAAUUUGGAGACCGGGCAGAGACUUAUGGUGGGUUGACCAUAGUGCCCCUGCCUGUGUCAAUUAAGGACCGAUCGUUGACGGCCCUCUUGUCAUGUUGAACGCAUGCCCCACAUUUAGCUGGAAGGAUAAGUCGUUCCGACCGCGAAGCCUGAGCACUAUCCGGGCCGGGAAUCGGCCCGAUGUACGCGCUGUAUUGGUGAUGGUUGAGGAGAACGACGAGGGCGCGGCGUGCAACCUUGGUAUACCUUGGAUACCUCGGUCGCCGGAACGGUCCUCGGGUACGGGCGGUGCCUGUCGAACCCGCGAAUUGGUCCUGGAUAGUGCAACACGGUGACCUGUAGCUCACUUGAUCAGUGAGUGUGGUUUGUGUGGGGAAUAAACUCGCCAGCUGGUUAGAAAUCGAUUCGAAUCGCCAUCGCUCCUGGAUAGUGAGCACUUGACAUGAGCCAUGUCCUCGUAGUAAGGACUAUGGAACACUUGGGUUAUAAUGAUGAAUAGUUUUAAGAAAUGCUAUGAUGAGGUACUAUCAUAGUCUCAUACUUGCUUGUAAUAGUGCAGGUGCAAACCUAGAUAAUAGGUAAUGAUACUUUCAACUUGAGCAAAUUAAAAGAAGAAAAGAUUUAUGUAAGUUAGGGUAAUAAAACCUUGCGGGCUUUGCAAAAUGGUUGUCAGCUACCCCACUAAAUAGCCUUCAUGAUCCUUGAUGAGUCUUUAUUUUAAGUUUAUGACGGGUAAGUCUAGCUGAGUACCUUCUCGUACUCAGGGUUCUAUUCUCAUGUUGUUUUGCAGAUGGUCAAAUGUACUAUGGUUAUUGCAUCCUCUGUCUGUACCCAGCUAUGGGUGAUGACUAGACCAUGGGCGAUGGUCACUCUGUCUCUUCUUUUGCUUUUGUGGGAAUGACCGAACUAUGGCACUGUAUCAGACUUAUCGUGUGUGUUGUAAUCUCAAACUAUGAAGCUUCUGCUACUUGAAGAACUUGGUUUGUAAUAACUUUAAGCACUCCGAUGUAUUUUAUGAAUGUUGUAAUCUGGAUGUACUUGUGGAUGGCGACCGCUAAACUUAUUACGAUCUUGGCUGUUAUGUGAUGUGUGGUUUGAAAUCCAUCGAGAUUUCACGGACUACCGGGAUUAUAUGGGCUUAAGCGUGAUAGUUCAACUAUGCAAAUGGUCACUAUUAGGCUUAAUCUCUUAUAAUUUGGUCGGUUCUGUGACAGCUGGCAUCGGAGCAAGGUUUAGCGAGUUACUGUUCAUAAGUACGUUCUAAACAAAAUCUAAACCGGUCUAAUGAAAGAUUUUAGUAAUUAAUAAAGAUCAAGGUGUUAAACUAAGUUUUGGAAAACUAUCUAAUGUGCCGUGGUCAUAUCCUUUAUGCCCAGUUAAGGACUCUAAGGUGGCUAGCUAAGUACUGACCUGGGGGUUAAUGCAUCAUAUUUUUGUUUCGUCGCUCAUACGGCGUGCAAUAGUAUGAGUGCCAUUCAUUUGAGUGGUAAUGUAUGGAUCAAUUCUUCCUCUACGUCAUGGUAAGUGGGAGUUGUGAGAGCAUGAUCGGAUACACUGCCGGUCUAGGGGGGUGUUGUCAGGUGCUGUGCCAUGCGCACAUGUUGGUGUGUCUUGGGAACAGUACCGCAUGCUGGGAAUUCCGUCCUGAGAGGCGAUGCCGUCAAUAGGGCGAUGAUGUGGGUAGUGACACAUCGCAUGCAUGGACGGGUGUCUGUGUAUGCGGAGUGCCUAGUUUUAAAUUCCUAUUCUGCACGAUCAUACUGUGGGUGGGCUGAAAUGAGUUUUCUGCAAGUACACUAACCACGUUCUCGCUUAGAACGCUAGUUACGUUAUGAGAGAACGUUGUGUGCCACCGCAUAUACUGCUUAGUGCUAACCUUUGUUUCUAAGUUUGUGAGAUCGUAAGCUCGUGCAUACAUCAUGUUCAUUUCAUAUCAUUGCUUACUUUCCCCCUUAAUUUAAUCUGUCCCAAUUCUAAAUAAAAUAAUUAAAGGUAAUCCUCGCUCUUACCCACGGUAUUCCAUUUGCAGCAGAUGGCACGCACUAGGCUCACCGCUCGCAAGUCCACUGGUGGGCGGGCCCCUCGCCGUCCGUUGGCAGCUAGGACCUCGCGACAUAAGAGCAAGUUCCUAGAGGAGUUUGGGAUGCCCACUUUGCUUUGGAGGGUGCUCAGUUCAAUGGGGUAUCCCGAAGGAAGGGAGCCUCACUACUAUUGGGAUAAGGAGCCGCUUGGGGAUGAGACCCUGGUGGGGAUCGAGGCAGUUGUCCCUACCAGUGGAGGAGACCCUGCUUGGGGCGGUUGGGUGUACGAGUCCCGAGGUGUCACGCCUUUCCAUGGUGCCAGCAGGGCAGCUUUCGCAGUUUUGAGGGACCUCAUGGAGAGGUUUCCACAGGAGCUGGCCCACGCCUUCGCUGGGGUGUUUCCCCGGGGUGACCCUUACACUUCGGUGUGGGAUCAGUCCGAGGUGAAUGCUCUAGAGAGGAGUGCGGACGAGGACCAGCACAGUGACAGUGCAGCUAUGAGUGCCAUGUACGCGUUGAUGAAGACCUAUGGAGGCCUGGAGCGUUGUUUCGGUCGCUUGUCCGGGUCUCUUCUCACCGUCCAGGAUGAGAAGCGUCAGUUGCAGCGUGAGUUUGACUCUGAGGUUGAGAGGCUACAGGCAGAGUUGGCUCGUGUGACCCGAGAGAGAGACCAGGCAGUCCAGAAGAACAGUGAGCUGAGUCAGGACCUGCUUGCAGUGCGAGAGCAGAAGGACAGGGUGACUACUGCUCACAGGAACUGCGAGCGCAUGCUAGUCCAUGUGCUUGGACAGAGGAAUGAAGCCUGGCACGAGGAGGACACUUUGAGGGCCCGACAGCUAGAGCUAGAGCAGCAGCUAGCUAAUGCUGAGGAGUACAAUGAGAACUUGCAUGAGGAGAUCCACCAGCUGCAUAACAAGCUCCACCCUCACCACCUGCCUGGAGCAGCGGAGCUAGACUCUGAGGAUGAGAUGGACGCGGAUCCCGAGAUAGGAGCAGCUGCUAGUGGUGAUGAAGAUGAGGAUGGCUCCGGCAUGGACAGUGACCACAGCGAGUAGAUGCUAGGGCUCUAGGGCUAGUCUUUCCUCUUUUGUGAUGUAUGUUGCAUGGCAUGUCGUGUACUUUUGGAUCUGGGCUGUGUAAGACUUUAUGAGUUGAUGCUGAAAGUCCAGUGUAUGUAUACUGGCAAGUUGGAUGUACGCGAACCUUGUUGCGUGAAUGCUAAGUAAUCUGUUAGUGAUGUUGUGCGUGGAUGAUGAGUUGUUGUGCCUUUGUUUAUUGUGUGAAUUUAUUCCCUCAGUAAAUUCAAUAUGGCACGAUUUUACACAUUUUCCACCGGUUGAUGGCAACUCCUAACGAUUGCUUGUCAUUGGCGUAUGCAGAUGGUGCAAACACGCGGCGGGGGUAACAGCAAUCCGGGUCUUGGAGCAGGUACACCCGGAAAUGGGGCUCAACGGAAUGAGGACCGAGCGCCAACACCACCACCACCUCCCCCGUACACUGCGGAUGUGUUUUUCGCGCAGUUUCUGGGAAGCCAACGCAACAUGGAACAGAUGCAGCGCAACAUGGAAGAAGCUUUGCGCAACAUAGCUGACAACACCCGUCGUGGGGAUAAUCAGGGUGGCCGGGAGGUCAACCAGUACAGUUCGUUCAAGGACUUCAUGGAUACCAAGCCACCAAUCUUCAAAGAGGCUUUGGAACCCCUCGAGGCAGAUGAAUGGAUCAAUACCAUGGAGCAGAAGUUUCGUCUUCUUCGGAUGACAGAAGAACUCAAGGCUGAAUAUGCGGCACAUCAGUUACAAGGACCCGCUGGGAUUUGGUGGUCCCAUCACCGUACCACCUACCCAGAGGGGACACCAAUAACCUGGAACCGCUUCACCACCGCUUUCCGGGGAAAUUACAUCUCUCCUGGUGUGGUUGAAAUGAAGGUUGGGGAGUUCAUGAGGCUGUCCCAAGGGACGAAGUCUGUGAAGGAGUAUCUACACGCUUUCAACAAUCUCGCUCGCUAUGCCCCUGAGUUUGUAAACACGGAGGCCAAGAAGAUUGCUAGUUUCCAGAGGGGCUUGAAUCCAAAGAUGCUGAAGACCAUGGGUACAGGGGCCAGGGCUACUUUCAAUGCCUAUAUCAGCGACUGUCUGACCCAAGAGAACAAUAACAACAACUACAGUGCAUCCAAGUCUCGUAAGAGGGCUUUUGAAGCCGGAUCAUCUCAGUCCAGGGCACCAGUGGCAGGGCGACAGCAGUAUCGUCCUCCUGCCCCGGGUGCUAGGUUCCGACCGCCGCAGAGAAGGAACACCGGGCAUCCAACACAACAGAAGCCGUACAAGGUGGCGAUAGCCCCUGCCAAGCCAAAGGCAAUUCAAGCUGCAGCACCUGCCGUCAACAGUGCGCCCAAGGGUCCGUGCUAUAACUGCCACAAGAUGGGGCACUUUGCUAAGGAAUGUCCCUACCCCAAAAGGCAGCAGCCAACCUAUCCAGCUCGUGUGCACCAUACCUCGAUCGAGGAGAUUCCGGAAGGAGAACCGGUAACAGCUGGUAUGUUUCCUGUCAACCAACAUCUUGCAGUUGUUUUGUUUGAUUCUGGAUCAUCGCAUUCAUUCAUGAGCCAAGCAUUUAGACAAAAGCAUGAUCAGCCAGUUACUGAGUUAGGUUAUGGCUAUCGCAUCAGCUCAGCCGGAGCCGAUGUGUUGACUAAUAAAACGGUAACAGGAGUUACCUUGGAUAUCAGUGGUCGGAGGUUCCGUGUAAACCUUGUGGUCAUGCCAGGACUGGUUUUGGAUGUCAUCAUUGGGAUGAACAAAAUGACUGAUUGGGGCGCGGUUAUAGAUACCGGGAAUAGAACUCUUUCCCUUAGAGACCCGCAAGGGAAGGGGGUGCUUCAGGUCAAGCUACCUAGACGGUUGGACUUCGCCAGUCUUUCAUGUGCAGUACAGGUAGUCCCUCUAGAACACAUACCCGUGGUAUGUGAGUUCCCUGAUGUGUUUCCUGAGGAUUUACCAGGACUUCCCCCAGAUAGGGAGGUAGAGUUUGCAAUCGAGUUGAUACCAGGUACAGCACCAAUAUCUAGAAGGCCGUAUCGGAUGCCCCCAAAUGAACUCGCUGAGUUGAAGAAUCAACUAAAAGAGUUGCUGGAUAAAGGGUUCAUCUGGCCAAGCUCGUCGGAAUGGGGUUGUCCAGCGUUGUUUGUGAAAAAGAAGGAUCAGUCGUUGCGCAUGUGCGUGGACUAUCGUCCACUCAAUGCAGUGACAAUCAAAAAUAAGUAUCCCUUGCCAAGGAUUGAUAUCCUGUUUGAUCAGUUAUCCAAGGCAAGAGUGUUUUCUAAGAUAGAUUUGAGAUCUGGGUAUCACCAAAUCAAGAUUCGUCCGCAAGAUAUCACGAAGACUGCUUUUUCCACCAGAUAUGGGUUGUAUGAGUAUCUAGUGAUGUCCUUUGGGCUGACAAAUGCUCCUGCGUACUUUAUGUAUCUAAUGAAUUCAGUCUUUAUGCCAGAAUUGGAUAAGUUUGUUGUGGUGUUUAUCGAUGAUAUUCUGGUAUAUUCAGAAAAUGAGCAAGAUCACGCCGAGCAUCUGAGAAUCGUGCUGACACGAUUACGAGAGCAUCAGUUAUAUGCCAAGUUCAGCAAGUGUGAGUUCUAGUUAAAGAAAGUUCCUUUCCUAGGGCACAUUCUGUCUGAAGAAGGAAUUGCUGUGGAUCCAUCAAAAGUGCAGGAAGUCAUGGACUGGAAGGCACCAACUUCGGUCUCGGAAGUUAGAAGUUUUCUUGGUCUGGCCGGGUAUUAUCGUCGUUUUAUACCUGACUUCUCCAAGAUUGCUAAGCCAAUGACAAGUUUGCUACAAAAGGAUCAUAAGUUCGUCUGGACGGAAGGGUGUGAGUUAGCCUUCCGCACCUUGCGAAAGUUGCUAACCACUGCUCCCGUUCUGGCACAACCUAAUAUAGAGAAGCCUUUUGAUGUGUUUUGUGACGCAUCGAAGAGUGGCCUGGGGUGUGUGUUGAUGCAAGAUGGCAGGGUGAUAGCUUAUGCUUCCCGACAGCUGAGAAAGCACGAAAUCAAUUACCCAACGCACGACCUCGAGUUAGCAGCUGUGGUGCAUGCUUUGAAGAUCUGGAGACAUUAUCUGCUGGGAAAUAAGUGUCACAUUUAUACCGAUCAUAAGAGCUUGAAGUACAUCUUCACGCAGUCCGAGCUGAAUAUGAGGCAACGACGGUGGUUAGAGUUAAUCAAGGACUAUGACCUGGAAGUUCACUAUCAUCCAGGCAAGGCUAAUGUAGUAGCAGAUGCUCUAAGUCGUAAACCACACUGUCAAGUGGUUCAACCGUUGUUUGAAGAUGGGUUCAAUCUUAUGCAUCCUGAGGUCUUAUGUCAUAUACAACUCAGUUGUUCACUCGAGAGUCAAGUCAUUGAAGGUCAGAAAAUGGACAAGGGUAUUUUCCACAUCAAAGAGAAGAUCAAAGAUGACCCAAAGACUCAGUUUUGGGUUGAUGAGAAGGGGGUACUGUGGUUUCAACAGCGGUUAGUGGUCCCGAAAGAUCGGGAGUUGAAGAAUCGCAUCAUGGAUGAAGCCCAUCUCUCUAAGCUUUCUAUUCAUCCUGGCAGCAGCAAAAUGUAUCAAGAUCUAAGGCCCCACUUUUGGUGGACCAAGAUGAAGAAAGAAAUAGCCGCUUAUGUGGCCCGUUGUGACACGUGUUGCAGAGUUAAGGCCAUCCAUAUGAAACCUGCAGGUCUGUUGCAACCGUUAUCAGUUCUGGAGUGGAAAUGGGAAGAGGUCAGUAUGGACUUUAUCACAGGCCUACCAACCACAAGGAGGGGGAAUGACUCGAUUUGGGUAAUCAUAGAUCGAUUGACCAAAUCGGCCCAUUUCAUCCCUGUGAAGACUCGUUACCGACCUCCUGAGUAUGCCGAUAUAUAUAUGGCUGAGAUUGUCAAGUUGCAUGGUAUUCCCAAGACAAUCAUAUCAGAUAGAGGACCGCAGUUCACCGCUCACUUCUGGGAGCGCAUGCAUAAAAGUUUGGGGACCAGUUUGAUAAGAAGCACAGCUUAUCAUCCCCAGACUUCAGGCCAAACUGAGAGGCUAAAUCAAGUGUUAGAAGAUAUGCUGAGGGCCUGUGUGCUAUCAUCCAAGGGAUCAUGGGAAUCGUGGUUACCUUUGGCUGAGUUCUCAUACAAUAAUAGUUAUCAAGAGAGCAUCAAGAUGGCCCCGUUCGAAGCUUUGUAUGGUCGAAAAUGUCGAACUCCGUUAAACUGGGUUGAACCUGGUGAAAGAAGAUACUAUGGUAUCGACUUUGUGAAUGAUGCCGAGAAAAAGGUGCAUAUCAUACAGCAGCAUAUGCAAGCGGCACAGUCACGACAAAAGAGUUAUGCGGACAAGAGGAGAAGGCCGCUUGAGUUCAAAGUAGGCGACUAUGUAUCUCAAGGUUACGCCAAUGAAGAAAGUUCAACGUUUCCGAGUUCGAAGCAAGCUUGCACCCAGAUAUGUGGGACCGUACCAAGUGCUAGAGAGGAAAGGCCCAGUGGCCUAUAAGAUUCAGUUACCUGAAGAGAUGAGCUCGAUCUUUCCGGUCUUCCAUGUGUCGGAACUACGGAAAUGUUUGAAAGUGCCUGAGCAAAGAAUUGAACCUCGAGGGAUCAAAAUAAAAGCAGACUUAGAGUAUAAAGAGCAGCCAGUGGGAAUUGUGGAUACCAAGGAGCGAGUAACCCGAAACAAAGUUGUCAGAACGUACAAAGUGGUGUGGAGUCAUCAUGACGAUAGGGAUGCCACUUGGGAAACAGAGGAUUACUUAAAAACAGUUUAUCCAAAAUUUCAUAAGAAAUGGUUAGUAACCCAAAAUCUCGGGACGAGAUUUCCCUAAGGGGGGAAGGGCUGUAACACCCUAGGUGUUAAGCAUGCACUUAGUCUCAUCAAGGUCAUGCAUAAGCAUUUCCAUCAAGCAUAAGCAUCAUGAGCAUGACACUCUUUUCAAAUUAUGAUUUUAUGUGCUUCAUUUCAUGUGCUUUAAUUAUGUUAAAAAUGUGAUGCUUGUUUCUAAAAUUGUGAAAUAUUCAAAUUAGGUUGCUUUAUGUGUAAGAAGAAUUAAGAAUAUUUUUGUGCAAUUUUUGGAGCUAUGGAAAUUGAGAAAUGGAAUUUAUACAAAAUAUCCAAAAUAACUUUAUUUAAAAACCUAGAACUAAGUUUUAAUUUGUAAUUCAAAUUCUAUUUAGAAUUUGGUCUUACCUAUUAAAGCAAAGUUGUAGAGCUUUUAGUUUGGCACCACUUUGCUUUUGGGUGAAGAUGGUGAACAUAAUUUGAAAAUGGUCAAAAUGAAUUUAUGAGAGAAUUUGAGAAAAGAAAUUCAAAAAAAAAAUAGAAAAGGGAAAGGGGGCGCUAGCAGGCCGCGGCCUCGCUCCUGGCCCGCUGGCCGAAGCCGGCCUGGCCCGCCCGCGCCUUCCCCUUCCCCCUCCUCGCGCUCGCGCCCGCGUCCACGCGCGCGGACGGCCUCGCCGUGCCGCCGUGGCGCGCCGGCAGAGCCUGGCCGCCGCGUGGCGGGCAUGCGGCGGCGUGGAGACGCCCUGGUCGGCCACCAGGAGCCCCUGGACGCGCCCGCCGAAGCCCCCGCUCCCAUUUGCACCCUCCACCGCUCGCUCUCGCCUCUCUGCUCGCCCUCGCGCAGCGCUCACCGCUCCGCCGCACGCCAUAGCCGCCGACGGCUCGGAGCUUCCCUCCCGGCCAGCUCCGGCCCUCUCCUUCCCCUUCGCGACCACCACCGGCUCCGCCUCGUCCUUCCGCGGCUCGUGCUUGCGCUCUUCCGCGCUCGGUAAGCCUUGCGUGCCCGCUAGAGCUCACCGGAGUUAGUCAGAGCUCCGGCGACCUCUCGGCUCGCACGUUUCUCCCUCUCCUCUCUGUCUCUGCUCGCGUUCAUAGGUGCUUUGGGUCCGCCUUGACCUCGCGCACCUUUUCCCGUCACUAGCUCACGCUCUACCGCCGUGAAACGGCCGGACCACGGCGAGCAGCGCCGCCGCGUCCGCCAUUCACGAUGGCGAGGUAGUUCCGGUGCUCGUCCGGUGCCAAAGAGGGUACGGCUGGACUCGUCUCGUUCGCGCGAAGCCGUAGGUGCUCACGGUGUCGCCGGAAACCUCACCGGCGGCGAGAUUCCGGCCGAUCUUUGGCCGCGGGGUCACGGGGUGGAUGACAGGUGGGGUCCCCUGACCCGCGUGUCCCGCCUGUCAGUGACUCCGAGGGUUUGAAUCCGGGUGCGCUUAGCGUUUUGGGUGACUUUCCGUUUUAAAAGUUUUUCCAGGAAAUGAUUUAAAUGUUCAAAAAUCCAUAUCUUGAUGAAUAUAGCUCCAAAAAUGGUGAAAUAAAUUUUGGUGUGUUCCUUAUUUCCAGAUCUAUAGCCUAAUAUGAUUGCAUGUCAUGUUUGAGUAACUUUCCUGUAAGAAUAUAAUUAAUCCAUGUUUUUCCUAAACUUGGAAAAUGCAUAGUAAAUAAAAUAGGGUUCAGAAAAAUGUAAAACUUGUUUUGCUGGCUCUGCAUGUGUGUUUAACCACUGAGAAAAUAUUGUUACAUAUUAUUUGGUGUAUAAAUGAAUUUAUGGUAAUUUAAAUGCUUGCAUGGCAGUGCUUUAUGAUUUUUAAUAAUUAAAUGGGUCAUGCAAUAAAUCUGGAAAAUUUUGUGGGUGUUUCUUAUGAUAUUAGAUGAAUUGUAAAAAUAUGAAAUCUGUUGUUUGACACUUAUAUCACAGUAGGGUGAUUAUACUUGCCUUAUCCAUUAAUCUUGUGAUUUUUGUGGCUCAAAAUAAGUAACCAAAAAUUAUGAAAAAUUUACAGUAGACUUUAUGAUUAGCUAGUAGUCUCCUGUAAUUUUUCUGGAAUUUAUUGAUGAACAGAAUUGCAUGUGAUUUUUAAUGGGCUUAGAAAUGAAUAAAGAAAAUUAUGAAUGGUUGUGUAUGUAGGUUGAAUGGACUAAGUUGGGUUUGGUGUAUCUUUGAAGCAUCAUGUAGGUUGCUGAUUUCAUUUGAAAAAUAUUUGUAGAAGAGAAUGCAAUAGAUGCUUAAUCCAAGUGCCUGUUCUUGGAUGAUGUUGCAUACAUUGUAAUGAACAUGACCAAGUGUAUCAUCCAUGCAUCAUGUCAUGGUCCUUUGGUACUUUCUCAUACAAGCAUCCACUCGGGCAUCUCGCACUCCACUCAUGAGCAUAUAUGCAUCAUACAGGCUCGCAGGAGAACGAAGUGGGACCCGAGGAACCCGAGGAGAUACAGGAGCAGGAACCUCCGGAAACACAGGAAACCGGAGAGGAAUUGCAAGAGUGUCCGGAUCACCGACCCAGCACCUUUGAGAAAGGCAAGCCCUGGAGCAUUCUAAGUCUCCCUAUUCUCGCUAACUUAUAUAAAGUGCUAUACUUGUUCUACUGUAUUGCAUAUUAAGUGAUAGGAGUUGCCUGAUACCGUUGCUGCAUGCGUACUCCUUGUUAUUCCUACUCAUUCAACUACCUUGUCCUAUGUAGAUAGGCACGGAGUCUAUGCUUAGCUUGCUUAGUUCGGUAGAAGUCGGGUGAUUUCCUGUCACCUGCGAGAUAUAGGUGGAUACCUGCUUGAUUGAGCAUUGGUUGCUCGGGGAAAAGAAUAACCAAGUGUGGAAUGAAUUUGGAGACCGGGCAGAGACUUAUGGUGGGUUGACCAUAUUGCCCCUGCCUGUGUCAAUUAAGGACCGAUCGUUGACGGCCCUCUUGUCAUGUUGAACGCAUGCCCCACAUUUAGCUGGAAGGAUAAGUCGUUCCGACCGCGAAGCCUGAGCACUAUCCGGGCCGGGAAUCGGCCCGAUGUACGCGCUGUAUUGGUGAUGGUUGAGGAGAACGACGAGGGCGCGGCGCGAAACCUUGGUAUACCUUGGAUACCUCGGUCGCCGGAACGGUCCUCGGGUACGGGCGGUGCCUGUCGAACCCGCGAAUUGGUCCUGGAUAGUGCAACACGGUGACCUGUAGCUCACUUGAUCAGUGAGUGUGGUUUGUGUGGGGAAUAAACUCGCCAGCUGGUUAGAAAUCGAUUCGAAUCGCCAUCGCUCCUGGAUAGUGAGCACUUGACAUGAGCCCUGUCCUCGUAGUAAGGACUAUGGAACACUUGGGUUAUAAGGAUGAAUAGUUUUAAGAAAUGCUAUGAUGAGGUACUAUCAUAGUCUCAUACUUGCUUGUAAUAGUGCAGGUGCAAACCUAGAUAAUAGGUAAUGAUACUUUCAACUUGAGCAAAUUAAAAGAAGAAAAGAUUUAUGUAAGUUAGGUUAAUAAAACCUUGCGGUCUUUGCAAAAUGGUUGUCAGCUACCCCACUAAAUAGCCUUCAUGAUCCUUGAUGAGUCUUUAUUUUAAGUUUAUGACGGGUAAGUCUAGCUGAGUACCUUCUCGUACUCAGGGUUCUAUUCCCAUGUUGUUUUGCAGAUGGUCAAAUGGACUAUGGUUAUUGCAUCCUCUGUCUAUACCCAGCUAUGGGUGAUGACUAGACCAUGGGCGAUGGCCACUCCGUCUCUUCUUUUGCUUUUGUGGGAAUGACCGAACUAUGGCACUGUAUCAGACUUAUCGUGUGUGUUGUAAUCUCAAACUAUGAAGCUUCCGCUACUUGAAGAACUUGGUUUGUAAUAACUUUAAGCACUCCGAUGUAUUUUAUGAAUGUUGUAAUCUGGAUGUACUUGUGGAUGGCGACCGCUAAACUUAUUACGAUCUUGGCUGUUAUGUGAUGUGUGGUUUGAAAUCCAUCGAGAUUUCAUGGACUACCGGGAUUAUAUGGGCUUAAGCGUGAUAGUUCGACUAUGCAAAUGGUCACUAUUAGGCUUAAUCUCUUAUAAUUUGGUCGGUUCUGUUACAUCCCCGACCCCAAGCAUCAUGUCGGGAGCUUUGAGCUGGCGGAUGAGACCGAGCUCGUCUUCCUCGACCCCGGGACCUCUGAGGGCACGACGUUGAGGAUCCGCUCGAGCCUCGACCACAAAUAGGAAGCAGUGCUCGUCGACUUUCUCCAUGCAAAUGCCGACAUAUUUGCGUGGAGUCCCUCGGACAUGCCUGACAUACCGAGGGAAGUCGCCGAGCACUCUUUGGACAUCCGAGCCGGCUCCAAGCCCGUGAAGCAGCGCCUGCACCGUUUCGAUGAGGAGAAGCGCCGGGCCAUCGGGGAGGAGAUCCACAAGCUGCUGACGGCUGAAUUCAUCAAGGAGGUAUUCCAUCCCGAGUGGUUUGCUAACCCUGUACUAGUUAAGAAGAAAAAUGGGAAGUGGAGGAUGUGUGUAGACUAUACUAGUUUAAAUAAAGCAUGUCCUAAGAAUCCCUUUCCAUUACCUCGUAUCGAUCAAAUAGUUGACUCCAUUGCGGGAUGUGAAAUUUUAUCUUUUCUUGAUGCUUAUUCCGGCUACCACCAAAUCAAGAUGAAAGAGUCCGACCAGCUCGCGACCUCUUUCAUCACCCCUUUUGGAAUGUUUUGCUACGUAACCAUGCCUUCCGGUCUUAAGAACGCAGGGGCUACAUACCAGCGAUGUAUGCUCCAGGUCUUUGGGGACCUCAUAGGCAAAACGGUAGAGGCUUACGUAGACGACAUCGUUGUCAAAUCCAGGAAGGCAAGCGGCCUGGUGGCCGACCUGGAAGAAACAUUCCGAUGCCUCAGGGCAAAAGGGAUCAAACUCAACCCCGAAAAAUGCGUGUUUGGAGUCCCCCGAGGCAUGCUCCUCGGGUUCAUUGUGUCUGAGCGAGGGAUCGAGGCCAAUCCUGAAAAGGUCUUGACCAUCGCAAACAUGGGCCCAAUUCGUAACCUAAAGGGAGUACAGAGAGUCAUGGGAUGCCUAGCUUCCCUCAGUCGCUUCAUCUCUCGCCUCGGGGAGAAAGGACUGCCUCUGUAUAGGUUGCUUAGAAAGUCCGAGCACUUUUCCUAGACCCCGAGGCCCAGGAAGCCCUUGACAAGCUUAAGGCUCUGCUCACUAAUCCUCCCAUUCUGGUACCUCCCGCCAAGAGGGAACCGUUGCUCCUCUAUGUCGCAGCCACCGAUCAGGUGGCGCAGCCUUGCCGGUCCAAAGACCGGUGUACUUCAUCAGUGAAGUACUAUCCGACACAAAGACCCGAUACCCCCAAAUCCAAAAGCUACUCUAUGCGGUAGUCCUAGCCCGACGCAAACUUCGUCAUUACUUUGAGUCUCAUCCGGUCUUGGUAGUGUCAUCUUUCCCUCUGGGGGAGGUGAUUCAGAACCGAGAGGCUAAUGGUAGGAUUGCUAAAUGGGCUACAGAGCUUAUGGGUGACGGGAUCACUUAUGAGCCUCGCAAAGCUAUAAAAUCCCAAGUCCUAGAGGAUUUUGUAGCAGAGUGGACAGGGACAUAGCUCCCCCCACCUUAGAUCCAGCAUGAGUGCUGGACCAUGUACUUCGACGGGUCCUUGAUGAAAACCAGGGCCAGCGCUGGCGUUGUCUUCAUCUCGCCCCUCGGGGUAAGGAUGCGAUACGCAAUCCGACUCCACUUCCCUGCCUCAAACAACGCACCGGAAUAUGAGGCCCGUGUCAAUGGUCUCCAUAUCGCGCUCGAGCUCGGGAUCAAGCGGCUCGAUGUCCGAGGCGACUCCAGACUCAUCAUUGACCAAGUCAUGAAAGAGUCCAGCUGCCACGACCCCAAGAUGGACGCGUACUGCAAAGCAGUCCGGCGCCUGGAGGAAAAGUUCGACGGCCUCGAAUUUAACCACAUGUUAAGGAAAUAUAAUGAGGCCGCCGAUGCACUCGCCAAGAUGGCAUCCGAACGGGCCACGGUCCCCCGGGAUGUUUUCGUCAGCGACCUCUACAAGCCUUCUGUCGACCACAAAGACGACGGGGGCUCGGAUCAACCCCCAGGCGACUUAGGCCCCAACCCCAAGGUCUCCACCACUCAGGAAUAGGAGGCCAUGGACAUUGAGUCCGAGCCCCCUGCGCCGAUGACUCGCCAGACUGGCGCUACCCCUUGCUGCAACGCCUUGCCGACGGCACUUUGCCCUCGGACCAGGCUGAGGCACGGCAUGUGGCUCGUCGCGCCAAGACUUUCGUCCUUCUCGACAGAGAGAUGUACAAGCGCAGCCCCUUGAGUGUCCUUAUGCACUGCAUCCCACUGUUGUGUAUUUUAAACGCAAACAGAAAAAUCCGCAAGCGCACGGAUACCGAUGUAGCCUUCACCCGGGAGUAUUCCAGAGUAUCGAUUUUCCACAGGGAACGUGAGUGUACUAAUUAAGAUCCAAGAUCGCCCAAGGAUAACUAUAUGAUUAUUUUUGGUGGGAAGAGAGGAAGUUUCCUGAGAGUUCUCUAGUUGAUCUAAGAAUCAAGAAUUACUUCAAGAUUAUCUAUAUCGGGACAUCAGAACACUAACCACAGAAAGAGAUGAGAAGGGGGCUAGGAAGCUCCGACUACGGUCCUACAAACACCGAUCCGAAUGAGGUGGAAUACGUCGACCGAUAGGGCUGUCACUACCCUAGGGCUACCACAACAAUCUGCAGGAUUGGGUGCAAUUCCAGGUAAUUGCAAGACUAAACACCACGUCUAAUCUAUUAAUUACUACUCUAAUGCUUCAAAGAUUAGAGCACUUGAUGCAAGCGGGAAUCCAAUAAAUAACUUGAAUGUAAAUAAAAGUAAUUAGAGAACUCAGGAAUUAUGAAUUGAAGAACCUGGAGAACGAUGAAGAACGAACCAGAUGCUGCAAAAGUACAAUGUUGAGGAAGAUCUUACAGAUCCGGCUCCUCCUCCGCUCUCCUCUUCUCUCUCCCGAUUUUCUAGAUUACAACUAGAACUAACUAGAACUAGAACUAGAGGAACUAGAACUAGAACUAAAUGAACUAGAACUAGAUCUAGAUGAACUAGAGGUAGAACUAGAAGAACUAGAGGGAUCCUCUCUACUUGGAUGAAGAAUUGAAACCCUAGCUUUGAUUCUGUAGAAGAGGUAUGAUCUCCAGGGGCCAGGGGGUCUGGUUUUAUAGUCCCUUCAUGUGAAUCUGGGCCGUCGGAUCAAACCGACAUUGAUCGUGUGGUUUUCCUUGAAGUAUUAGGUUGGUGGAGCAUGAUCCCCGAGCUUCACCCUGAUUGGUCCAGGGGGGAGGGCGGGCGCCCAGUAAGGGAGGGCGGGCGCCCAGUGCCCGGCCCCGUCACGUCUCUCGUUCGCUCCCGUGGCUUCUGGACUCUUCUAGAUGGUAGAUAAUUACGCGUCAAGUUAAUAUCUCUAUGUAAACUCGACGUGUGGGCCUUUCUUCCAUAUUUCCUGAUAACCCCUGCAGAAAUAGACAAACACCAAAACUCGUAGAAUUCUAUCAGUUAAAACCCUAAGUCUAGGUGUUGGUUGCAUAUAAGUCCUUUUCCAUGAUUAGUUGAUGGUUAAAUGUGAGCAUUAAGGACCAUCAACAAGCUCCCCCAAGCUUAACCUUUGCUCGUCCCUGAGCAAGGAUGAACUCAUGAGUUUCUGCAGUGGUUUCAUGCCUUAAAGGUACAUAUGCGUGCAAACAAGAUCUCAUCUCUGGGUUAGGGUAAACUGUUAAGAUUUAAACUUACUCAUUUUACCUUCCACCAUGGGGCUUGUAACCGUCACCUGUGUCUUGAGCAGUUAAAAGAUAGAACGGUCUAAUCAAGCGCCAUGUCUCAUGUUCUUGAUCAACUAUAGCUCUAGAGUUUUUGCAGAUUUUCAAAUAAAACUUAGAGAUUCCUUGUAUGACUCUCUCAGGUCUCUCUUUUGUGGUAUUUCUGGAUCCUUACCAAGGCAGUAAUGGUAUAUGCCUUCUCUCAAAGUAUAUGGUAUUUGUGGUAUAAGGCAUAGUGGCAUUGCCUUCUCUCUCACCCUACUCUAAUAAGGCUUUUGAUAUCUAGAGCUCAUAGGUGGGAGAUACUUAUAAGACAUUUAUUGCAUAGUCAAACCAUGGAUCUAGAAGAACAAGUCAAUAAGUCAAAUCAAGAUGUGCAUGUGUGGAGAAUGAAUGAUGUAUGGUGAUGAUGGUAAUAACAAUGGUGAAAGUCUAAUUCUACUUUUGCUCUUUUGAGGGGAUACAUACCUUUCUUGCACUUUUGAGGCUUUUUUAGGAUAAUGAGAUGCUCUAUAUUUUCUUCUCCUUUUUUCAGGUGGGUAUCUUGUACCCCUAAUUCUACUGUCGGACACUUGUCCAUUUUUACCUCUCGUCUCACUUUUUUUUCUUUCGAGGUUCCGGGCACUUGCCCCUUUUUAUUUCCUCGUAUUAUUUUUUCUUUUUUUAGAGCACUCAUCUCAUGAGAUAAUAUAGCAAGUGGUAGUAACAAGAUAACUUGAGCAUUUAUUUCACAGGGAAAAACAGAAAUAUUUUUUGGCUAUUCUCUCCCGGAUUAGGAGUAGAAUAUUUUUAGGUGAUUCUGGAGAUGGAAAUGGGUGGAUAUAUGUGGAUGCGUACUUCCGGAGUAGAAGCAGCAUGUGUGAGUGAACGUGCAAGUGAAUCUUGACUUAACCACAUGACAAGCUCCUAAGGGUCUACACAGCUUGACCACACUCAAUGCUCAUAAGCAGUAAAAAGUAAAUGUGUGGAUCAAAGUCUAGCAAGCAUGUAUAUAUGGCUGUGGUAGGAAUUUAAACUCUCAUCAUACAGGAACUCAUCAUGCAACAUUUUAAAGAUUUUCAAAAAUAAAAUUCUCCAGAAUUCUAGCAUCUCUAGGAACAGAUAAACAACAGCUCAACCUUCCCAUAUCGUAUCCGUUAACGACUUAGACUUCAGAUCAAGUACUCUUUCCACAAGUUCAGGUUUAGAGCAAAUCUUAAUUAAUAACAGUUAUGCCUAAACUUGAGAGAGAUUUCAAAUUUAGGAACUAGUCAUGGCAGAGCAACUAUUCAUCAUACCAUGUGAGAACUUAUCAUGAGGUGUCAUAGAAAAUUUUAUUUAUUUAUUUAGCAAACUAAGCAAAGAUAUAUAUAUAAGCAGAAAAUCUUUAUUUGGGUUUAUAUGAUUAUGCAUCUUUUUAUUAUUAGAGUAAAGUAUAAACGUGAGUAGAACACUUAGCUGGAUAAAUGUGGGUGCUCUCCCCCAAGAUGAAUUUUUACGUAAUUCCUUCUGAUGUAGCUAGCAGGUGGCGGAGGUGUAUUUGAAUGUCGGUAGCACCCUGACAGUGAUUAGGAUGUCCUCCGUCUGCUAGUCUUCUUUGAUCCUUGAAUUCUGUGGAGCUCAAAUAGACAACAAAGCUUUGUGGAACUGGUUAAGUGUUAGCAUAAAUAUCUAGCCUUUAUCAUGUUGAGCCUCCUCAAUAAAUAUUACACUCUUUAGUAGGAUCAUAAAUUUAUUUUUAUAAUUUUAUCUUUAUAGGACAGGAAUAUAUUUAUUUCAAUUUUAUGCCACCACAGUGAAUGUACUUAUGGGUUUUAUGCCAUGAGCAUACUCACAUGGGGCUUACUAUUUUUAAGAUUUUUAUUUUCUUUUCAAGAUGAUAUGAACUGAUUAACUAAAAUAAUUGAAAGGAAAAAGAUAACUACCAAGUUUACCUCUUGGCAAGGCGUUCGGUGUUUUUACGUCCUCCGAACGGGACUCUCCGUUUUCUCAGUCGUCCUGGAAUUCGCUGGAUGGCGUAGUCGGUGGUUCCGGUGGCGCCUCCUCUUCGUGUAUAACAUUCUUCUUUCUACACACCUAACUCGGUGCUACGAUCUUCUCAGGACAGUUCUAUUCAAGCUGUAAGUCUUCAGACCUUACUACUUCUCCUUCGUAGUCUGCCCAUCCGUCCUUGAUGAUUUGUCUCCUCUGGUUACGGCUGCGUCGUCUUCUUCUUGUCCAGACCUGCUUAGAGUCUUCAACUAUAUAGUUAGGGUCAGUAAAAUAGCAGCGUACCUUCUCAGAGGUGAAGUGCAUGUGGACUUCUCUGGUUCCAAUGUAGAUGAUUGCUUUAACAGUGCUGAGGAACGGUCUUCCAAGGAUGAUGGGUGGAUCGUACUUGUCUUCUCCCAUGUCAAUAACCUUAAAAUCAUCUGAAGCUGAAUGUAUGUUGGUUGUAGGGACAUGGUUCCAUGCAGGAGCUGAUAGUGACAGCGGCCAUUAUGUUGACGUCAGAUCCGGUGUCGUAGAGUGUCUUCUGAAAAGAAUAUCCGUUGAUUGUGCACUCGAUGCUUGGAACACCAGGGUCGUCCUUCUUGAUCAAGAAAGGUGACUUGAGUUGACGAUGUUGACCUCCUUGAGCUGCAGUGACCAUCUUAGCUGACUCGGUACACAUUUGCUUGUUCCUGUUCCUCCUGUUGAUCCUCUUCCUUGGUUCAUGUCGGGAUUGCUUUG